UACGUAGGGGGCAAGCGUUGUCCGGAAUUAUUGGGCGUAAAGAGCUCGUAGGCGGCCUGUUGCGUCCGCUGUGAAAACCCGGGGCUUAACCCCGGGCUUGCAGUGGAUACGGGCAGGCUGGAGGCAGGCAGGGGAGAACGGAAUUCCCGGUGUAGCGGUGAAAUGCGCAGAUAUCGGGAGGAACACCGGUGGCGAAGGCGGUUCUCUGGAACGCAACUGACGCUGAGACGCGAAAGCGUGGGGAGCAAACAGG
rnacentral:rRNA from 1 species